rnacentral:rRNA from 1 species
UACGUAGGUGGCAAGCGUUAUCCGGAUUUACUGGGUGUAAAGGGCGAGUAGGCGGGAUUGCAAGUCAGAUGUGAAAACUAUGGGCUCAACCGAUAGAGUGCAUUUGAAACUGCGGUUCUUGAGUGAUGGAGAGGCAGGCGGAAUUCCCGGUGUAGCGGUGGAAUGCGUAGAUAUCGGGAGGAACACCAGUGGCGAAGGCGGCCUGCUGGACAUUAACUGACGCUGAGGCGCGAAAGCGUGGGGAGCAAACAGG